rnacentral:rRNA from 1 species
AACUUUCAACAACGGAUCUCUUGGCUCUCGCAUCGAUGAAGAGCGCAGCGAAAUGCGAUAAGUAAUGUGAAUUGCAGAAUUCAGUGAAUCAUCGAAUCUUUGAACGCACCUUGCACCCUUUGGUAUUCCGAAGGGUACGCCCGUUUGAGUGUCAUU